GCCGCCUUAAUUUAAUGGUAGAAUGGGAAAUUUGUAAUUUUCACAUACGGGUCCGAUUCCUGUAGGUGGCA
rnacentral:tRNA from 2 species